rnacentral:rRNA from 1 species
GCGGAGGAAAAGAAACCAACAGGGAUUGCCCUAGUAACGGCGAGUGAAGCGGCAACAGCUCAAAUUUGAAAGCUGGCUCCGGCCCGCGUUGUAAUUUGCAGAGGAUGCUUCUGGCGAGGUGCCUUCCGAGUUCCCUGGAACGGGACGCCAUAGAGGGUGAGAGCCCCGUAUGGAUGGACACCAAACCUGUGUGAAGCUCCUUCAACGAGUCGAGUAGUUUGGGAAUGCUGCUCUAAAUGGGAGGUAAAUCUCUUCUAAAGCUAAAUACCGGCCAGAGACCGAUAGCGCACAAGUAGAGUGAUCGAAAGAUGAAAAGCACCUUGAAAAGGGGGUUAAACAGUACGUGAAAUUGUUGAAAGGGAAGCGCUUGUGACCAGACUUGCGCCGGGCAGCUCAUCAGGGGUUCUCCCCUGUGCACUCUGCCCGGCUCAGGCCAGCAUCGGUUCUCGUGGGAGGAUAAGAACGGUAGGAACGUGGCCCCCCUCCGGGGGGGUGUUAUAGCCUGCCGUACGAUACUCCCGUGGGGACCGAGGUUCGCGCUCCGCAAGGAUGCUGGCGUAAUGGUCAUCAGCGACCCGUCUU